UCGUAAACUUAAAUAAUCCCAAAACAAGAUUAUUCGCCAGAGUACUAUCGGCAACAGCCCAAAACUCAAAGGACUUGGCGGUGCUUCAUAUCCUUCUAGAGGAGCCUGUUCUGUAAACGAUAAACCACGAUUAACCUCACCAAUCCUUGCUACUUCAGUCUAUAUACCGCCAUCUUCAGCAAACCCUAAAAAAGGAACGAAAGUAAGCACAACUACUGCACGUAAAAACGUUAGGUCAAGGUGUAACCUAUGGAUUGGGAAGAAAUGGGCUACAUUUUCUAUAAUAAGAACACCCCUUAAACUCACACGAAAGUUUUUAUGAAACCUAAAAACUAAAGGAGGAUUUAGCAGUAAAUUAAGAAUAGAAUGCUUAAUUGAAUGAGGCCA
rnacentral:rRNA from 1 species